rnacentral:ncRNA from 1 species
AAUCCGGGGAGCUCAUGAGCUGGGCUGAGAGGAAGUCAGAACUUCGACCCGUAUACCUGAUUUGGAUAAUGCCAACGUAGGGAUGAACGAAUA